UAGUAUAUGAAAUAUUUUUUGAGAGGAGAGGGUACAGUUUCGGGGAAACAUGUAUGAAAUCUACAUAGAUAUAAAAAAAGAAGAUGUGGUAUGAUGCCAAUGAGAAACUUACAGCAACUAUAGGUCACCAUAACCCGAACAAAGCUCCUGUCGCACAGUCAGCUAUAAAAGGUUUCAAAAUGUCAACAUAAAACAAUUCAAACGAGAAAAUCAACGGUCUUAUUUAAUUACAAAAAAAAAAUAAAAAAAAAAUAAAAAAAAAAAUGAAUGAAUAACACAAUAUGUAGAACAUAAAAAAUGACAACCAGUUUUAAAUUACAGGCUCCUGACUUGAAAGAGGUACACACAUACCUAACCUGGCGAGAUAACAACCAUCCCCUCACAUGAGACAGUAGGUUACCAGUACAUUAUGGGAACUUAUUAUAAAAAUCAGUUGAAAAACGUAAUUCAUCAGAUGGAUAAAAAUAAAAUGCUAUAAAAAACACGUGGACGUAAUCAGGUACUUGAACAUCCCAACAAUUAACCAUUUCCUCCAACAUUAUCAUUAUUGAACAAAUUAAAAAAAACACCUAACUUGAACAUUGAACCUUUUUGCAAUAUCGGUAAGACGGUCUAGAUCACCCUCACCCUUUCUUUAUACUCACUAACAGUCAUAGUGAAGCUUUACCACCCAGAUCCGUUUUUCUUGGGAGUCCUCAAAUGAAGAUAUGUGUACCCUAAAACUGUUUAUUGAGACAAAUUUAUUUGUCCCAAAGGUUCCACAGACUCUUAUAAUUGCACCUCCAUUUGUUACGGUUGUCAAAACGUUCAUGGUUGUUGUUUUUUUUUUCUCUCGUUAAAUGCGGUUGAGAUUACUAACUUUUGAAGUUGUAUUUAUAUUGGUUUGGGAGCAUAAUCUUUUUUGUUGGAGUGAUUAUAAUCAUUUUCAUUGGUGUACUAUUUUGAGUAUUUGGAUGGUAACUUCCUUUCAGGGUGUUGACUAUUCAAAUCAGACUUUCAUUGGUUGAUAUCUCUACCCGAGUACUUGUACAUGUUGGAAUAUGAUUUGCUUCAUCACACUCAAACCAUCCCUCGACAAUUCACUUCCUUAUUAUUUUU
rnacentral:lncRNA from 1 species